rnacentral:tRNA from 1 species
AAUAGAUUGCCUGAUUAAAGGAUUAUUUUGAUAGAAUAAAUUAUAUAGCAUUUACUAUAUCUGUUA